UGAGGAAUAUUGGUCAAUGGGCGGUAGCCUGAACCAGCCAAGUAGCGUGCAGGACGACGGCCCUAUGGGUUGUAAACUGCUUUUAUGCGGGGAUAAAGUCACCCACGUGUGGGUGUUUGCAGGUACCGCAUGAAUAAGGACCGGCUAAUUCCGUGCCAGCAGCCGCGGUAAUACGGAUGGUCCGGGCGUUAUCCGGAUUUCUUGGGUUUAAAGGGAGUGUAGGCGGCCUGUUAAGCGUGUUGUGAAAUGUAGAUGCUCAACAUCUGAACUGCAGCGCGAACUGGCUGGCUUGAGUACACGCAACGUGGGCGGAAUUCAUGGUGUAGCGGUGAAAUGCUUAGAUAUCAUGAAGAACUCCUAUUGCGAAGGCAGCUCACGGAAGUAUCACUGACGCUUAAGCUCGAAGGUGCGGGUAUCAAACAGG
rnacentral:rRNA from 1 species